AGAGUUUGAUCCUGGCUCAGGAUGAACGCUAGCUACAGGCUUAACACAUGCAAGUCGAGGGGCAGCAUGGUCUUAGCUUGCUAAGGCCGAUGGCGACCGGCGCACGGGUGAGUAACACGUAUCCAACCUGCCGUCUACUCUUGGACAGCCUUCUGAAAGGAAGAUUAAUACAAGAUGGCAUCAUGAGUCCGCAUGUUCACAUGAUUAAAGGUAUUCCGGUAGACGAUGGGGAUGCGUUCCAUUAGAUAGUAGGCGGGGUAACGGCCCACCUAGUCUUCGAUGGAUAGGGGUUCUGAGAGGAAGGUCCCCCACAUUGGAACUGAGACACGGUCCAAACUCCUACGGGGGGCAGCAG
rnacentral:rRNA from 1 species